GCGAUAGCUCAGUCAGUAGAGCAUGAGACUCUUAACCUCGGGGUUGUGAGUUUGAAUCUCACACUGGGGACU